rnacentral:rRNA from 1 species
AUGGCAAAAUAUUUUUGGACUAGUUCUCUUGACAAAAGGAGUAUGCAUUGGGUGUCUUGGAAAGAGUUAGCUACACCCAAGUGUAAUGGGGGUAUGGGCUUCAAAGAUCUGCAGCUAUUCAAUCUUGCAAUGUUGGGAAAACAUGGAUGGCAGUUCUUAACAAACCGAAAUUUCUUGUGUGCAAGAGUUCUCAACGGGCGAUACUUCCCACAUGCCGAUUUUAUGCAAUCAACGGCACCCAAGUCGGCCUCGACUACUUGGAAGGCCAUCAUUGUGGGAAGAGAUGCCCUUAAAGUUGGGUUGAUUUCACGCGUAGGAGAUGGCUCUACCAUCUCAGUGUGGACUGAUAAAUGGAUCCCAGCUACCAUCUCUAUGACUCUUACCUCCAGACCAUCAAACACAGGAGUCGAGAAGGUUUCGGAUUUGAUAAAUACAAUAACCUGGAGUUGGAGACAGGAUCUGGUCCAGGAUACUUUUGUUCCCUCCGAUGCGGCUGCCAUUUUGAAUAUACCUAUUCGACAAUGA